UACGGGGGGAGCAAGCGUUGUUCGGAUUUACUGGGCGUAAAGAGCUCGUAGGCGGCUUGUUGCGUCGACUGUGAAAACCCGCGGCUUAACCGCGGGCUUGCAGUUGAUACGGGCAGGCUAGAGUUCGGUAGGGGAGACUGGAAUUCCUGGUGUAGCGGUGAAAUGCGCAGAUAUCAGGAGGAACACCGGUGGCGAAGGCGGGUCUCUGGGCCGAUACUGACGCUGAGGAGCGAAAGCGUGGGGAGCGAACAGG
rnacentral:rRNA from 1 species